rnacentral:rRNA from 1 species
GACGAACGCUGGCGGCGUGCCUAAUACAUGCAAGUCGAACGCAGUGGGGACGGGUGAGUAACACGUGGGUAACCUCCCAUCAGAGGGGAUAACACUUGGAAACAGGUGCUAAACCGAUACUGAUGGAUGAACCAGCGGUGCAUUAGCUAGAUGGUGAGGAAAAGGCUCACCAAGGCCACGAUGCAUAGCCGACCUGGGAGGGUGAUCGGCCAAACUGGGACGGGGAAAAGGCCCAGACCCCGACGGGAGGCAGCAGGAGGGAAUCUUCGGCAAUGGACGAAAGUCUGACCGAGCAACGCCGCGGUAGUGAAGAAGGGUUUCGGAGCGGAAAACUCUGUUGUUAGAGAAGAGGUAUCUAACCAGAAAGCCACGGCUAACUACGUGCCAGCAGCCGCGGUAAUUC